AGAGGGUAAGAAUUAAUGCAUUUAUAAUGGAAAUGGGAACUUUUCUGGAACAUAGCUGAUACUGUGCCAUGGCCUUGGAAACCCACUCAGAUGUAAUCAGUCAUUUUUUUAGACUACGUUUGAGACAGGAAUCCCAAGUUGAAAAGUUCAGGGUAGGAUGUUAGCAUCUAGGGGAGAGCUAGUGGUUGUGCCGGAAACCUAGAAAUCAAGAGACAACUGAAGGGGCUGAUCGCUGAAAGGAAGAAAGCACCAGAAAUUCCAAUCCUAACUUGUCCAUGACUGUAGUGCCCAUUUUGCUGAAGUCUUCCUCCCUUGCUGGCUUUGAGGAAGCUAGCUGCAAUGUUGAGGAACUCCAUGUGGCACGAAACUACAGGUGGUUUCCAGAAGCUGAGAACAGACUCUAGCCAACAUCCUAUGAAGGUCUCCAGCCAGCACCCUGCAAUAAAGAGAAUCCCUCACUUCUGCGAUUGCAAGGAACUGAAUUCUGCCAGCAGUCUGAAUGAGCUUGGAAGUGGAUACUUCCUUCUGUUGAGCCUCAGUUGAGACUGAAGCUCUGGCUGACACCUUGAUUGUGAGACCCCACCUAAGUCAAGCCUGGACUCCUGAUUCACAGAAACUGGUAGAUAAUGAAUGUAUACUGCUUUAUACCACUAAGAUUGUGGUAAGGUUAGACAGCAAUAAAUAACUAAUACACAGUUUCUCAGUCUCUCUUUUUCUUUCUUGCCCUUAAAAUUUUUGAAGCAUACAGGCCAGUUAUUUUAUAGAAAGCCCUUCAGUAUGAAUGAUGUUUCCUUAUGAUUAGAUCCAGAUUUGACAUUUUGGGGAGGAAUAACACAGAAGCGGAAAUGAUGUUGUGUCCUUCUCAGUACAUUCUACUAAAAGGUAUAUAGUUUUGGUUUGUCCCAGUAUUAAGUGAUAUUAAAUCUAUUACUUGGUUAGGGUGGUAUCCACAAGAUUUCUUCAUUGUAAAGCUACUA
rnacentral:lncRNA from 10 species